UACGAAGGGGGCUAGCGUUGCUCGGAAUCACUGGGCGUAAAGGGCGCGUAGGCGGCCAAGUAAGUUGGGGGUGAAAGCCCGUGGCUCAACCACGGAAUUGCCUUCGAUACUGCUUGGCUUGAGACCGGAAGAGGUGAGUGGAACUGCGAGUGUAGAGGUGAAAUUCGUAGAUAUUCGCAAGAACACCAGUGGCGAAGGCGGCUCACUGGCCCGGUACUGACGCUGAGGUGCGAAAGCGUGGGGG
rnacentral:rRNA from 1 species